AUUGUUUCAAAUGUCAUCUUGUGUUUGGAUUAAAACUCUUUAAAAAAAUUCUUUCCAAUUAUACCCUUGAAUUAUUAUGUAGUUGGGUCAAGGUAGAUAAUUGUCGGACAAUAUUAUUUUUUAUGGCCUUCUAACUAGCUAUGAGAAGAACAAUUUGUUGUCAUGUUUCCUAUUUUUUCACUUGAAUUAUUUGAGGAUAAAUAAUUGUCAUCUUAAUAAAUUGAUCACUCACAAAAUGUCAAUUUUCAAUUUAAAAAAGAUAAAUCAUCUACUUUUAAAAUUGAAAAGGCGGUCAACAAUGAUAAAAUUGAAUAAACCAACUACAUUUACUCAUAAAAAUUGCAACUUAUAGUUUUAAUAUGUAUGUAAUUUCUUAAAUUGUUCAAAAUACAAAUAGUUAGAAAAUCACACACACA
rnacentral:lncRNA from 1 species